UCAGCGUUUUUAAGCCUUGGAGUAUCUUUGUCCACGUCUGUAGCCGAUUGUGUGAGCAGAAAUGGGUCGACAAGUUUUACAUAAAAGAUGAAAACGUUAUCAACGCCUGAAGUCUUUUUUGUCAGCUAUCUGUCUAGCAUGGUCCAGAACGCUUGUGCGAGGACAGAAUAGAGGGGACCUAUGGUCCCACAGAACACCCACACUGUAGACAUGGGCUCCCCCACAGGGCAGGGCCCAGAUCUGCCAUGCAUUUCACACCGUAACAGAGCCCACAGUUGGUGACUUGCACUGAGAUAAAUGUGGUGACCUCAUAAAAAGUACGCCCACCCUAAGUACACAGGUAUACUGUGGACACCCUGUAACACCACAUAACUUCAGAAAACCGUUCCUUGUAACACGUGACCAUGAAACAAACUGCUGUCAUUCUGUCGCUUCCAGCACGUGUGAGCCAGCAUCAACCAAAACAGUGAUAAGACUGCUCUGUUACACUAUGGUAUGCAAGGAGCAGCGUAGUACUCCUCACAUCCAGUGGUACUCAAAUAAGGAACAUUACGAGCUACUUUUCUUAAAAGGAAUGCAGUAGAUUACUGAAUGACUUGCCUGACAAAGUCAUUUGUUACAUUACUUACUUGUUACUCCAUAAAAUGACCUGAAACACUGUCGCAUAAUUAUCAGUUAAUAUAAACCUGAGGCUGCAGGUCCACACACCAGCACAAAUCCCUAUCCUAAUGAGGACAUAUGAACACAAACCCAACAACACAACAGAAGGAUGCAAACCAGAAAAAAGCACUGACUCUACUGCAGAAACAUGAGCAGGUAGAAAUGGAGGACGCAAUGCUGCAAGUCCAACUGACAUCACUGCCUGUUACCCGCUGAGCUUAAGACCAGAACCCUGUACUGCAGCAUUAUCCCAGUCCACAGAACCCCAUCCUUGUCUCUCUAUGGAGCUGAUGUUUGGUGGUGUUGCUUACAGUUAUGCAGGAGCAGAAGGGGGUCUGAUGGAGAAUAAAUGUCAUAUCCUUUAGAUCACUGAUCUUAAACUGAAAUCAGCAAAAUUUAUAGGGUUUACUUAUUGUGGAACUUUCUGAUCACACUGUAUACUGUGCUUUCCAGGGUUCAGCAGGCGAGUUCAGCUGACUUCAGGUUUUUAAAUUAAAUUUACUUAAACACCCCAAAGUGGCUGAUGGGCAAACAACAAACCAGUGUGCUGAAGGAACUGUUAGCUCCUAUUAAAUAAAACUUCAGGUGGAAAAACUGUCCCGAUGCUUUAAAGAAGAACACACGUGUGUGUUUUCAUGUGUGUUUGUGUAGAUGAGAUGAAGACACCCUGUAAUGAUGAAGAUGCAUCCGCCUGUCAGCUCGUCCCUCCUCCCUCUGCUGCCUCCAUCGCUCCCAGGAGGAGGAGUCAGAAACUGAAACAGUAAACCACCUCCACUCCCUCGUUUCUCCUCUGCUGGGACCCCAAAACAAGCACAAACACCACCCUUCAAACAGCUGCAGCACUUUCAGUGCAGAGACUCUUAUUUUGAAGGAGACGACCAAGAAAACAAAGUUUAAACAUCACCAGUGCACCUAUAA